AAAAAGCGACAAGUAAGCAUCUAUACAAUGCGAAAGCUAUGGUUGAGUUCAUCAUACCUCUUAGACCACAACAAACCCAGCAUCUUGUGCCGUUGCUGUUGAAGACUUGGUUUUUUUGGGGCUAGCCUAUGGUAAGCGAGAGCGAAUUGGUGUUUGAGGCUUGUAAACAAAAAGUGGUCUUGCUUAUCCGAAGAUUACGAACUCUUAUAGAUUGUUUAGAAGUAGAGCCAGUACCUAAGGGUGAAAUGGUGCGUAGUGUUGAACUUGGUAAGCCUUAUAGGUUCUAAAUAAUAUGUGUUAUUUAGAGGGCCGUUCGCAAGAUGGGCUAUCACCUAGAAGGUAGAAGAGAAAGCAAAAAGCGAAUGCAGUGCUGUAAUGGUGCUGAUAAAUACAAUUGUAUUGACCUGAAAGGGUGCUGACUUGCUUUUGGUGUAAAAAAUAAAUAUUAAAAUAAUAGUUUAAAAAUGAAAAGUAUUACUUAUAAUCUAGUGCUAAAUAAGCACAUAAAGCCAAUGAAUUCAGAGCAGCUUGGCUAUUUUUUAGCUGGGCUAAUCGAUGCCGACGGACAUAUUGCUGUAACCGGGCAAAGUAUAACAAUAAACACUCACAGCAGGGAUUUAUGUGUUGCUUACUACAUUAAGCAAGCUGUCAGCGGAAAUAUAUAUAAGUAUAAAAAGGUCAACGCUUGUAGAUAUACUUGCACAAAAAACCGCGGUUUAGCUGGUUUAUCAAAGUUAAUAUUAAACAAGCUAAGAUUACCUCAAAAAAUAAAUCAGUUUAAUAGCCGACUAGCGUCCCGUCUAAAUUUAAAACUUUGUACACCCAGUGUUACAGGUAUAGAACAAAACCAUUGGUUAGCCGGCUUUGUACAAGGGGAUGGAAGUUUUCAAAUAAAAAUAAGAAUGCCCCGUAAACCCGGAUGGAGUAAUCAAGUUGAAAUAGUACCCCUUGCCUUUGGCUUCGGGCAAAGGUUCAGAUUGAAUUAAAACAUGAAGGCCUGCUUAGGCAAAUUAAAGAAACUUUUGGUGGUAGCGUGGGGUAUCGUAAAAGUAGAAAUACCUACUAUUAUAGUAGCGUUAAUUUACAAAAUGCUACUAAACUUGUGAAGUAUUUUAAUAAAUACCAAGUAAUGGGACCUAGCUACAGGUUAUUUUUAUGUUGGAGAAGAGCUUUAGAUAUAGUGCUAGCUAAACAACACCUUACUUCUGCCGGAUUUGACGAAAUCAAAUGUUUAAAAGCAUACAUGGCUGAAUUAAGGCAGAGGAAUUGAUAUAUUUUUUU
rnacentral:rRNA from 1 species